UACGUAGGGGGCAAGCGUUGUCCGGAAUCAUUGGGCGUAAAGCGCGUGUAGGCGGCUCGAUAAGUCUGCUGUGAAAGUUCAGGGCUCAACCCUGAAAUGCCGGUGGAAACUGUCGAGCUAGAGUCCGGAAGAGGCGAGUGGAAUUCCUGGUGUAGCGGUGAAAUGCGCAGAUAUCAGGAGGAACACCAAUGGCGAAGGCAGCUCGCUGGGACGGUACUGACGCUGAGACGCGGAAGCGUGGGGAGCAAACAGG
rnacentral:rRNA from 1 species